UUCCUUAACUUGUCCCGUGCAGGCUUUUCCACGCUGCCAAGGCGAUCGAACAAGCGGGAAUGAUGAUGAAAGAGCAGAAGAAGAUGCCAGAGGCCAUCCAGUACAUCGAGAAGGCGUGCAUGAUGUACAUGGAGAACGGGACGCCUGACACCGCCGCCAUGGCGCUGGACCGCGCUGGGAAGUCAGUAUGAAACGCACU